rnacentral:lncRNA from 1 species
UGAAUUUGUUUAUGGCAUUUUGAUGCAUGUUAUAACAACUUAUGUCCUCUGUUUGGGACAAAUCAAAUAAAUGCCAUUUAUAUAACUACAUAUGGAGUUUGAAUUUGAACCUUUGGUUCAAACCAACUUCGUUUAAUGUUGUUGCUAGAUGCAUUAGCUUCACCAUCAUAUUGCCAUGACAUGCUAAUGCAUCAUAGUGUUGCAUUUCCGCGAAGUAAAUGUUGUUCUUUUCCUGUUUGCCGGUGUUGUUCCCUCUCGGUAGACGAUGGUUCCGACGUUGUGAUCAUUGACACUAAUGAAGAAAAGUGUUAUCUUCAGAACUGUUAGGCAAGCAA